CAAAGCCAAAAAAUGGGGUUUGUCAAACAUGCUGGGGGGGGGUGUCCCAGCGAGCGGCCUCGUGGCCAUUGAGAGUGAGAUUUAUGUUAUUUCAUCAUCAUCAUCAUCAUCAUCAUCAUCAUGGAAUGGUUUGGGUGGGAAGGGACCUUAAACUCCUCCAGUUCCAAACCCAACACCUUCCACUAUCCCAGAGUGCUCCAAACCCUGUCCAGCCUGGCCUUGGACACUGCCAGGGAUCCAGGGGCAGCCACAGCUGCUCUGGGAAUCUGUGCCACCCUCACGGGAACAAUUCCUUCCCAACAUCCCACUGCUCUCUGGUAACUGAAGCCAUUCCCUGGGUCCUGUCCCUCCAGGCCUUGUCCCCAGUCCCUCUGAGCUCUCCCUGGAGCCUCCUCCUCUCCAGGUGAGCAAUUCCAGCUCUCCAGCCUGGCUCCAGAGGGGCUCCAGCCCUCAGAGCAUCCCUGUGAACUCCUCUGGAUUUGCUGCAGCAGCUCCACGUCCUCAUGCUGGUGGCAGUGCUCAGGUGACAGUCACCAGAGCAGAGCAGAGGGAUGGAGGUGUCCAUGGCACCAGGGGUGAAGCUGAGCCCUGGUGACUCCCAGGAUCCCACAGGAGCAGCACCUCCCAGGAUUCAGGGAUCCACUGCCAUCCAAACCUCAGCAGGCAGCAAAUUUCUCCCCAAAUCCUGCCUUUGCUCUGGAGCUUCCAUGUGCUGCUCCCUCAGAGCAGAACUGUGCUGGCUCCUGUUGGGAUGUUCAGUUUAGGAUGGAUUCCCAGGGCAGAUCCCUGCUGGAAAGAGCACGGGGAGCUUCCCUGAUCCUUCAUCAGCUGCACGAGGAGGGAGAAUUCAUCCACACUUCCCCCAGCAAUCCCAGCCUUUGGCUCACAUCCCCUGGACUUUUCCAUGCUCCAGCCACCACAAGCCCAGCUGGAUCUCCAGACCUCCAUCCUCAUCCAUCCUCAGCCUUGAUUUGUGCUCCCGGAGCGUCCUUCCCUUGCUGGACAAUAUUGGAACUCCCAAUUACCCCAACCAGAUGGGAUCAACCCCUGUGGUGAUUGGGAGAAAUUUUUUAUUAAAGCCCAGUAUUAAUCAUGGUAAUUGGGGAGGAACUUUGAGGUUAUAAAACUACAGCAUGUCUAAUGAGCGAGCUCCUUCUAGGAGGAACUGAGGGUUUUAAUCUAAUAAUGUCACUUUUAUGGAUUAUGACUGGAGUUUUAUGAAGUGUGAUAUGAAAUACAGUGGAUUCAUGGCUCUCGCUGGAUUAAUUUGGAAAAGUAGUUUUCCUGGUUCUAGGCCCAAAACCAAUUACUGCUCCCAUUUCUGUCCCCUGCCCCGUUACCAAACCCCUCUGUCAGAAAUGGGCACCUCCAGCCAUAACCUUUUUACAGGUUGGGUUUCUUUGUUUGGCUGAGGUUUGGGGUUUUUUGUUUUGUUUUGCUUUGUUUUUUGAAACCCCACAUUGUUACAAACAUCCAGUAGGCAGAGGAAGCUCAAAUUCCUUGGCACAGGCUGGAUAUUUGUCCAGGAGGGACAAAAACAAGCUGGAAACUCUUAAACACAGGUGAGGGCUACCUGGAGCUGGUCCACAGCCUGGGGACUGGAUCACCUCACUGGAGCUCCCUGACCUCGAGCCAUUGGCACAGAAAAGCCAAAACUGGGAUGUGUGGAAGGAUUAUAAAUCAUUUAAAGGGAAAAAGGAAACCUCAAGAACCAUCCAGUCCUUCCUGCUGCCCCAAGGGAGAGUCUAAAAGUCAAAGGAGAGUCUCUACCUGCACUGGAGUGUGUGUGUUAAACUAUUCCUAGAAAAUGCUCGUGCAUGUAGUUCUCCCCAAAAAUUUAUCAUAGGCACAGAGAAAAAUACUCCGGUGUAGGGAGGCACAGAGUGCACCUGGAAAAGUGUCCAGGGAUGUUUCUGACGUUUUUAAGGAACUGUGGGAUGCAGUGCCUCCGGAACAGCCAGGGCACAUCCAUGGCAAAGACCAGCCCUGUGGGAAACCACAUGGAUGGCAAGGGGGGCUGGGGGAUUGUCCCUGUGACCCCCCGGGGUGGGUGUUCUUUGGAAUCACGGAAUCACUGAGGUUGGAAUCGUGGAAUCACUGAGGUGGGAAUCAUGGAAUCACUGAGGUUGGAAUCAUGGAAUUAUUGAGGCUGGAAUCAUGGAAUCACUGAGGUUGGAAUCAUGAAAUUAUUGAGGCUGGAAUCAUGGAAUCAUUGAGGUUGGAAUCAUGGAAUCAUUGAGGUUGGAAUCAUGGAAUCACUGAGGUUGGAAUCAUGGAAUCAUUGAGGUUGGAAUCAUGGAAUCACUGAGGUUGGAAUCAUGGAAUCACUGAGGUUGGAAUCAUGGAAUCACUGAGGUUGGAAUCAUGAAAUCACUGAGGCGGGAAUCAUGGAAUCACUGAGGUGAGAAUCAUGGAAUCACUGAUCCUUGGAUCAUUGAGUCCAACCGUUCCCCCACCACAGCCAAGGCCACCACUGACCCCAGGUGUCCCCAGGUGCCACAUCCACAGGGCUCUGAAAUCCCUGCAGGCAGGGGGGCUCCUCCCUGGGCAGCCCUUUCCAUGAAGGAAUUCCUGCCUGAUUUCCAGCCACGUGCAAACCCAAACACAAAGCAGAGGUCACUUCCUCCAGGGGCAAAACGAGGGCUCCUUAGUCCUAGGCAGUAGCCAGG